GUUAAAAAGCUCGUAGUUGGAUUUCUGUCGAGGGUGGUCGGUCCGCACUAUGUGCGUGUAUCUGAUUCGGCCUUGGCAUCCUCUUGGGGAACGUGUCUGUGCUUGAUUGCAUGGCGCGGUAUUCAAGACUUUUACUUUGAGGAAAUUGGAGUGUUUACGGCAAGCAUACGCUUUGAACACAUUAGCAUGGAAUAAUAAUAUAGGGCCUGCGUUCUAUUUUGUUGGUUUCUAGAGCUUGGGCAAUGAUUAAUAGGGAUAAUUGGGGGCAUUCGUAUUAACGCGUCAGAGGUGGAAUUCUUGGAUUGCGUUACGACGAACUACUGCGAAAGCAUUUGCCAAGGAUGUUUUCAUUGAUCAAGAACGAAAGUAUGGGGAUCGAAGACGAUUAGAUACCGUCGUAGUCUAUACCAUAAGCUAUGCCAACUAGAGAUGGGAGGUCGUUUAUUUUAUGACUCCUCCCGCACCUUAUGAGAAAUCACAAGUUUUUGGGUUCCGGGGGGAGUAUGGUCGCAAGGCUGAAACUUAAAGGAAUUGACGGAAGGGCACCACCAGGAGUGGAGCCUGCGGCUUAAUUUGACUCAACACGGGAAAACUUACCAGGUCCAGACAUAGUAAGGAUUGACAGAUUGACAGCUCUUUCUGGGUUCUAUGGGGUGUGGUGCAUGG
rnacentral:rRNA from 1 species